CGCAUCUGUGCAUGCAGCAUAUCAAUAAGCGGAGGAAAAGAAACUAACAAGGAUUCCCCUAGUAACGGCGAGUGAAGCGGGAAGAGCUCAAAUUUGAAAUCUUAAAGGGUUUCCCUUUACGAAUUGUAGUUUAAAGAAGUGUUUUCUGUUGAGGUUUUGGUAAAAGUUCUUUGGAAUAGGACAUCAUAGAGGGUGAGAAUCCCGUAUUUGACCUUUACUUUCAACUUUGUGAUACACUUUCAAAGAGUCGGAUUGUUUGGGAAUGCAGUCCAAAAUGGGUGGUAAAUUUCAUCUAAAGCUAAAUAUUGGCGAGAGACCGAUAGCGAACAAGUACCGUGAGGGAAAGAUGAAAAGAACUUUGAAAAGAGAGUUAAACAGUACGUGAAAUUGUCAAAAGGGAAGCGUUUGACACCAGUGUUGUUUUUCUGAAAAUCAAUUAAAGAACUGUUUAUGCUAAGUUGUUUAGACUUUAUCAGCUAACUGUUUAGUUUUGAGCUUUUCUUUAAUGCACUUUUCAGUUAACAAGUCAACAUCAAUUUCUUUUGCUGUAAAAAAGCUUGAGGAAGGUGGCUUGAGAUUCGUCUUAAGUGUUUAUAGCCUCUUGCCUAUGCAGUCGGAGAGAUUGAGGUCUGCAGCGUAGAUCCUUCGGGGCUAAGUGCAUUUGUGCUAAGUUAUAGCAUUUUAUAGACAACUUGUUGACUAUGAUUUGUCUUGUAGCUUACUCGCUUAUGUUAUUUUACCUACGCUUAGGAUGUUGAAUCUGUGCGAGACUAC
rnacentral:rRNA from 1 species